CAAAGAGUAUGAAUCCUUGCAGUCACGAAAGCUUCAAAUCUAUAAUUCUAUCCCUCUUGCGCCAUCAGUAUUGCAUAACGAGAUGAAGAAUUGAUUAUCUGUCUCUUGUCACAGAGCCAGUGCAACUCCUUCGUGUUUGAGAAUGUACGUACGUGUGUUGGACUUCUCUCACACCGCACGUAUCCAACCGUGAUAAUCGGAGGUGCGGGGGGAAGGACAACAACUUAAACACAAAAAGCAGUUGUAAAAUGCUGCAGCAGUGCAGUUAAUGCGGCAGCAGAGGGCAGUGCAGUCUUGCAAAUGUGACCAGCGUGGUGAAGUAUGGUGCAGUGACCACCACCCCAGGAGCCGCACAGAGGUGGAGGGGAGGCAACCAUCCAUCAUCAUGCACUGAGCUCAUGGUACAACUCAACGCAGCGAUACUCAAAAUCUGCUUCGGACAUCAAUCUCUCGAACUGUAACAGCCUCACGUGGGUGCGUGACGUCAUUUAUGGACGGUACCCUACACGGUCGAGGAGGAAACAGCAAUAGCGAAAGCAGCCGGUGCAGCAGACGAAGAAUUAGCAACGAACACUGUGGAGUCAAAUCUCGACUUAAAGCUUUCGUGAUUGCAGGAAUUCAUACUGGUAGGAACCUCCUGGUUACACCAGCCCACAGGGGAUUAUUGUGUCCG